rnacentral:lncRNA from 10 species
CGUCUCCCUCUGAUGCCCAGCCGAGGCUGGACUGUACUGUCGCCAUCUUGGCUCACUGCAACCUCCCUGCCUGAUUCUCCUGCCUCAGCCUGCCCAGUGCCUGGGAUUGCAGGCGCGCACCACCACGCCUGACUGGUUUUUGUAUUUUUUGGUGCAGACGGGGUUUCGCCGUGUUGGCCGGGCUGGUCUCCAGCUCCUGACCGCGAGUAAUCUGCCAGCCUCGGCCUCCGGAGGUGCCGGGAUUGCAGACGGAGUCUCGCUCACUCAGUGCUCAAUGGUGCCCAGGCUGGAGUGCAGUGGCGUGAUCUCGGCUUGCUACAACCUCUCCCUCCCAGCUGCAUGCCUUGGCCUCCCAAAGUGCCGAGAUUGCAGCCUCUGCCCGGCCGCCACCCCGUCUAGGAAGUGAGGAGCGUCUCUGCCUGGCCACCCAUCGUUUGGGAUGUGAGGAACCCCUGUGCCCGGCUGCCCAGUCUGGGAAGUGAGGAGCGCCUCUUCCCGGCCGUCAUCCCGUCUAGGAAGUGAGGAGCGUCUCUGCCCGGCUGCCCAUCGUCUGGGAUGUGGGGAGCGACUCUGCCCCGCCACCCGUCUGAGAUGUGAAGAGCGCCUCUGCCCGGCCGCGACCCCGUCUGGGAACUGAGGAGUGUCUCUGCCCCAACGCCACGCCGUCUGGGAGGUGAGGAGCGUCUCUGACCGGCCGCCCCGUCAGAGAAGUGAGGAGCCCCUCCGCCCAGCAGCCGCCCUGUCUGGGAAGUGAGGAGUCCCUCCGCCCGGCAGCCGCCCUGUCCGGGAAGUGAGGAGCAUCUCGCCCGGCAGCCGCCCCGUCCGGGAGGUGGGGGCAGCCCCAGCCCGGCCAGCCGCCCCGUCCGGGAGGUGGGGGCAGCCCCAGCCCAGCCACGGCCCUGUCUUGGGGGUGGGGGGCGCCUCUGCCCAGCCGCCCCGUCUGGGAAGUGAGGAGCCCCUCUGCCCAGCCGCCACCCCGUCUGGGAGGUGUACCCAAGAGCUCAUUGAGAACGGGCCAUGAUAACGAUGGCGGUUUUGUGGAAUAGAAAAGGGGGAAAUGUGGGGAAAAGAAAGAGAGAUCACCCCUCCCCCUCCCCCUCCCUCUCUCCAUGGUCUCCCUCUCCCUCUCUUUCCACGGUCUCCCUCUGAUGCCGAGCCGAAGCUGGACUGUACUGCUGCCAUCUCGGCUCACUGCAACCUCCCUGCCUGAUUCUCCUGCCUCAGCCUGCGGAGUGCCUGCGAUUGCAGGCGCGCGCCGCCACGCCUGACUGGUUUUCGUAUUUUUUUGGUGGAGACGGGGUUUCGCUGUGUUGGCCGGGCUGGUCUCCAGCUCCUAACCGCCAGUGAUCCGCCAGCCUCGGCCUCCCGCG